UUUUUUUUUUUUUUUUUGGUUUUUCUAGACAGGGUUUCUCUAUAGCCCUGGCUGUCCUGGAACUCACUUUGUAGACCAGGCUGGCCUCGAACUCAGAAAUCCACCUGCCUCUGCCUCCCAAGUGCUGGGAUUAAAGGCGUGCGCCACCACGCCCGGCUUCCAUAUUCUUUUUAAAAAUGACUUUUUCUGUUUGCUGUUUUGAGGUGAGUGAGUCUUGAUGUGUAACCCAGGACGGCCUCUGACUCUGCAGUUCUCUCUCUGCCCACCAAAUGCUGGAAUUGCAGGUGUGCCCACUUUAAGUUUAUUUUCUUUUCAUCUUUUAUAAUAGUAAUCACUAUUUCAUACUAUGUUUAAACCAAAAUGUGAGAUAGCCAAGUAUGGGAAACAGUCUACUUAUACAUAGCCCUGUGAAGAAAUUUCAUUUCAAUAUUUCAUUGACUGUCAUUUUCUUGAUGGUUUAUAUAUAAAAAUGUUAAGUACUUAGAGUUUCCAUGUUUUUAAGAUCUUAAAGCUCUAGUCCUUUCAGACAGGAAAAAACCCUAGCUGAUGACAUGGCACAAUGUGGAGCAGCCGUUUUCAGAUUCUGUUUAAACUGUGUUCCUUUGUUGCUUUAAUGCUCCUUUUUUCAAAAAUUAAUAUUUAUGUAUUUUGCAUAUAUGUAUGUACUGCACAUAGGCUGUUGUACACAUGUGGCAGUCAGAAGACAACUUUUGAAAAUUCAUUCUCUUCCACUUACAUAAAGAUUAUUUGAAGAUGGAGCUUGGUUUAGUGGUGCAUGCCUUUAAUCCCAGCACUGAGUCAGAACCAGGUGGUUCUCUAUGAGUUCAGGGACAACACCGUCUACAGAACAAAGUCUAGGCCAGGCAAGGCUACAUAGUGAGACUUUGAUAGAUAGGUGGAUGGAUGGAAGGGAGGAAGGAAGGAAUCUAGUUCUUCAUUUCCUUGAAUUGUCCUUUUGUGGUGGAGGGUGGUGGGUGUGUGCACAGAUGUCUGCAGAUGUGCAUUUACUUCUGUGUGCAUGUGGAAACGGUGGGUCUAUGCUGACUGUUCCUCCCAUCCCUGAGCAUUGUAGGUUUUGAGAGAUGAUCUUGGGCCUUCCACCCACCCUCCCCCAUCCACCACCACCAAAGUUACAAGUACGUCCCACACCCAGCGUUUCAUGUGGGUCCUGGGGAAUCCAAGGUCAUUUCUUCAUGUUCCUUCCUGCACCAGGCACUUUAUCAACUGAGCCAACUUGGCUGCUGAAGAUGAAUGCAUUUAAGCUUAAGUCAAAUAGUUAAUACCUUUAUCUAGUAUUGUAUAAUCAGUCUUUAUAUUUAAUUUUUAUUGUAUACUAUAUUUAUUUAAUAUAUUUAAUUUAAUUAUUAUUAUGUUUAUUUAAUUUUAAAGAUCAAGUUCUUUACUAAACCUGGAGAUUGCUGGACUACAAGGGUCUUGGGGAUCUUCUUGUCUCUGCUUCCCUAGUUCUGGUCUUAUAAGCUCACACUGCCACUCAUCGGUCGUAGGGGGUUGGGCUUGAGUCCCGCUUACAGAGCAAGCAGUCACUAAGUCAUCGCUGGCCCCAUU
rnacentral:lncRNA from 1 species